CAGAAUGCUGUGCAAAUCGCUGGCUUGUUUGUUUGGGGAUUUUUUUUUACCAUUUUGAAAUUUAGUGAACUCUCUGUGUGGGACCCUGUUCCCCAAGUUGUAUACAGAUAGUACAUAGUCUAUGUCCUUAUCAAUGCUCUCCCGAGGUGUUUUUACAGAAGCUGAUGCCUUUGCAGGUUUCAGGGGAAAGACAAGACUCAGGUGAUUUCCUCUGCCCUCCUGGAACAGAACAUUGCAGCGAGGCCACUCCCACCCAUCUUCAAGAAAGCAGUAAAUUCAGAAUAUCAAUAGGUCACAGAGAAUGCAGAUUGCAUCAUGCAAUGAAUGAACUUCUGGAUGGGGAACAGGUUUCCCCAAAGUCACAUUGGCAGGAAUAUUUCACCCCAUCUUUUUCUGUAGUAAAUGGGGCACCAGCUGGAAUUUCUGAGAUCCUUCUCACCUAAGGACUUUUUGCCACAUCAUGGGGAUUGAAUUUUCACAGAAAGUCACUGACCCGAAUUGUGGCCAGGAUGGAAAAUUACUACGCUGAAAGCCAACUCUUCUGUGACCCAAUAAACAGCAG